UUCAUAGAAUGUGGGUGUGAGCCGGAGGGAUGCAGGGCCGCGAUUGGUAUUCUUCUGCCGAGCAGAAAGGCUGAGAAAAUGGUGUUUAGCGAGUUUGUUAUGAAGGAAGGAAUAAAAAGAGAAGCUGUCUACAAGGUUCACGGUAUUCACCCAGGAUACCGCAUGGGCUCAUGCGCGUGCGCAUAGGAAAGACUACGCUUGGUGUAAGGGACAGCCUCUUUGUCGCGUUUCAACCAAUCUAAUUGCGCCAGGGGUUGGCCCUGACGCUCACUGGCCAGCGCUGCUUCCGCGUUGGGUUGCGUCCCACGGUAACUGUGCGCGGGAGUCGUUUUGGUUGGCGCCAUGGGAUCGGGACUGAUCCCGUGCUUAGCCCCGCGCCUCGGACUUUCGGAACCUGAGGUGCUGAGGAAAGCAGAAGAGUACCUGCGACUAUCCCAGGUGAAAUGUAUCAGUCUGUCUGCACAUACUACAGAAACCAGCAAUGCAGUCAUGUGCCUAGACCUUGCAGCUUCCUAUAUGAAGUACCCCUUGGACAGGGCUUAUUUAAUUAAACUUUCUGGUUUGAACAAGAAGAUGUACCAGAGCUAUCUUAAAUCUUUUGAGUGUUUACUGGGCCUGAACUCAAAUAUUGGAAUAAGAGACCUCAGUGUACAGUUUAGCUGUACAGAAGCAGUGAACAUGGCUUCAAAGAUUCUACAAAGCUAUGAAGCCAGUCUUCCCCAGACACAGCAAGUAGAUCUUGACUUAUCCAGGCCUCUGUUCACCACUGCUGCACUACUUUCAGCAUGCAAGAUUCUAAAGCUGAAAGUGGAUAAAAACAAAAUGGCAGCCACUUCGGGUGUAAAGAAAGCUAUAUUUGAUCGACUGUGUAAACAGUUAGAGAAGAUUGGACAGCAGAUGGACAAGGCACCUGGAGACUUAGGUAGUCCACCAAGGAAGAAAAAGAAGAUGGUUGAACCACCAGCUACGGAAAUAGAGAAGGUAGAAGACAUCCAACGUAAACUACAAAAAGAUGAAGAUCUGACACAAGAUUAUGAAGAAUGGAAAAGGAAAAUUUUAGAAAAUGCUGCCAAGGCUCAAAAGACAACAGCAGAGUGACUUCUGCUUCCAGAUUGGUAUCUGCUUCUGUUAGAUAGUAAACCGUUCUCCAGAAAGAUUUGAGGGCUUUGAUGAAAUUGGUUUGAACUUUCAGAACAAGGUUGCUCACCAUUGCCUUAGUAGCAAAGAAACCAGAGCACAGACAAAUUCUGGACAGUGGACUGGCUUUUGACAUGAGAACAUGUGGACUGGCUUUUGACAUGAGAACAUUACAUCAAUCACAGUGUCUUACAUACUCUUGACUCCACAAGUCUAUGCUGGAAUUGCAAGUCAUAUUUUCUGUUUUAAACUAAUGACAAUCUGGUUUUAUCCUGAAUAUAUAUUUUAGGCUGAAUGGAAUCUUACAGGUUUUACUUACUUUUUUUCAGUAAACUUUUUUGGUUUACCUCAAUAUAUUGCAGUCAAAGCUAGUAAUUUUUUUUAAUUAAAAAUGCAUUUUCUGUCAGCUUCAAGGAAUCGUUGGGCCAAAAUCUGUGUCUUCACCAGCAGGAAAAAAAAACCAGAUUUCUGUACAUUGAGCUUCAAUGCUCACUAUAUGACAAUUCAAAUCAUACUUUCUGGGUUGAAGACCAUACUCAGCCACUCACCACAUGUGAAACAUUGAUCAAAGCAAUUCACUUUAUGAUUCAUCUGUGAAAUAGUAAUAAUGAUUAUUACCUCAGUAUAAUUUUAAGGAGUGUAAAAGCCAAUACAUGAAAACCAUUUCCUGUGAAAGUAAAUACUGAGUAAACAUUAAAGUAUAGAAAUGUUAUUUGUGAAAUAUGGCAGUAAAAUCCCUUUAAACACUUUUUAACAUA